UACAGGGGGGGUAAGCGUUGUUCGGAAUUACUGGGCGUAAAGGGUUCGUAGGUGGCUUGCUAAGUCGGACGUGAAAUCCCUCAGCUUAACUGGGGAACUGCGUCUGAUACUGGCGAGCUUGAGUGCAGGAGAGGAACGCGGAAUUCCAGGUGUAGCGGUGAAAUGCGUAGAUAUCUGGAGGAACACCGGUGGCGAAGGCGGCAUUCUGGACCAAUACUGACGCUGAGGAGCGAAAGCCAGGGGAGCAAACGGG
rnacentral:rRNA from 1 species